ACGGGUGAGUAACGCGUGAGUAACCUGCCUUCAAGAGGGGGAUAACAUUCUGAAAAGAAUGCUAAUACCGCAUGACAUAUCGGAAUCACAUGGUUCUGAUAUCAAAGAUUUUAUCGCUUGAAGAUGGACUCGCGUCCGAUUAGUUAGUUGGUGAGGUAACGGCUCACCAAGACCGCGAUCGGUAGCCGGACUGAGAGGUUGACCGGCCACAUUGGGACUGAGACACGGCCCAAACUCCUACGGGAGGCAGCAUG
rnacentral:rRNA from 1 species